AACGAACGCUGGCGGCAUGCCUAACACAUGCAAGUCGAACGAGACCUUCGGGUCUAGUGGCGCACGUGUGCGUAACGCGUGGGAACCUGCCCUUAGGUUCGGAAUAACUCCCCGAAAGGGGUGCUAAUACCGGAUAAUGUCUUCGGACCAAAGAUUUAUCGCCUUUGGAUGGGCCCGCGUUGGAUUAGCUAGUUGGUAGGGUAAAAGCCUACCAAGGCGACGAUCCAUAGCUGGUCUGAGAGGAUGAUCAGCCACACUGGGACUGAGACACGGCCCAGACUCCUACGGGAGGCAGCAGUGGGGAAUAUUGGACAAUGGGCGAAAGCCUGAUCCAGCAAUGCCGCGUGAGUGAUGAAGGCCUUAGGGUUGUAAAGCUCUUUUACCCGGGAUGAUAAUGACAGUACCGGGAGAAUAAGCACCGGCUAACUCCGUG
rnacentral:rRNA from 1 species